rnacentral:tRNA from 1 species
GGGGGUGUAGCUCAGUGGAAGAGCGCUCGCUUCGCAUGCGAGAUGUCUUGGGUUCGAAUCCCAACUCCUCCA